AACGAACGCUGGCGGCAUGCCUAACACAUGCAAGUCGAACGAGACCUUCGGGUCUAGUUGCGCACGGGUGCGUAACGCGUGGGAACCUGCCCUUAGGUUCGGAAUAACUCCCCGAAAGGGGUGCUAAUACCGGAUAAUGUCUUCGGACCAAAGAUUUAUCGCCUUUGGAUGGGCCCGCGUUGGAUUAGCUAGUUGGUAGGGUAAAAGCCUACCAAGGCGACGAUCCAUAGCUGGUCUGAGAGGAUGAUCAGCCACACUGGGACUGAGACACGGCCCAGACUCCUACGGGAGGCAGCAGUGGGGAAUAUUGGACAAUGGGCGAAAGACUGAUCCAGCAAGGCCGCGUGAGUGAUGAAGGCCUUAGGGUUGUAAAGCUCUUUUAACCGGGAUGAUAAUGACAGUACCGGGAGAAUAAGCUCCGGCUAACUCCGUG
rnacentral:rRNA from 1 species